AGAAUCAACGCUGGCGGCGUGCCUAACACAUGCAAGUCGCACGAGAAAGGGGAGCAAUCCCUGAGUAAAGUGGCGCACGGGUGAGUAACACGUGAAUGAUCUACCUCCGAGUGGGGAAUAACUGAGAGAAAUCUUAGCUAAUACCGCAUAACACUUACGAGUCAAAGCAGCAAUGCGCUUGGAGAGGAGUUCGCGGCCGAUUAGCUAGUUGGCGGGGUAAUGGCCCACCAAGGCAGUGAUCUGUA
rnacentral:rRNA from 1 species